GCCCUUUGAACCUUGGGUUAAUACAUCAAUUAUAAUCUUGUCCAUCAUUCUUAGACCCGUCGAAUGCUCGUGCUUCGGAGUCUACGCAGGGUUAGCUGUUUGCCAAGAUUUCACGUGGAUAAGCAAGCAGUUUAUGAUUUGAAAGCUGGUCCACUCCGAUUCUUGAUUCUUGGAGGUUUUUAUGUCAAUAAAACUAGUCUGUUGUUUUAAACUCUUAGAC